rnacentral:rRNA from 1 species
CCUAUGUUGCCAGCGGAUAAUGCCGGGGACUCAUGGGGGACUGCCGGUGAUAAACCGGAGGAAGGUGGGGAUGACGUCAAGUCAUCAUGGCCCUUACGCCCAGGGCUACACACGUGCUACAAUGGCCGGUACAAAGGGCUGCAAUCUCGCGAGGGUGAGCGAAUCCCAAAAAGCCGGUCCAAGUUCGGAUUGUAGUCUGCAACUCGACUGCAUGAAGGCGGAAUCGCUAGUAAUCGUGAAUCAGCUACNUCACGGUGAAUACNUUCCCGGGCCUUGNACACA